CUCAGCUUCUCCCUCUUCUUUGAACCUUGCGUGUCUAUAGGCACCGAACGCCAACAAACGUCCAACCUGUUCCAGAAGUCAUCUGUGAACAGGUGCAAGUAUUUAGUUGAUUCAACCAGAUGGACUUUACCACAGCGGAACCACAUUUUAAAGGCCAUUAAUCACAAUGGGAUUAAGCGCAUCAUCCCUCUAAUAGCCACGAAGGAUUCAUCCACUGAGUCUAAAAUACCAUCUGGCUGCUAUUCCUCUUCCUCAUUUCUAGUCCUUCCUCAGUGCUCACCUCCAGAAUUAGAGAACUUAAUCACGGAUUUAUGGAUAAAGCACUCACACUUCUGAAACAGAAGUGAAUUAUCAGCAGUCCAAGAACUCGCAGCCUGUGAUCUCCAUUAAUUGCCUCCCAGUACAGAUUUUAAUGCUUCGCUCUCAGCCAACGUGGUAAGUUUUGUCAGCGCCACAACUGGUCAUCUGUCAAAGAGGUACUAACAGGGAAAGUGUGUGUGUGUGUGUGUAUGUGUGUCUGUGUGUUUUAAGAUUUUAUUUAUUUAUUCAUGAUAGACACACAAAGAGAGAGAGGCAGAGACACAGGCAGAGGGAGAAGCGAGCUCCAUGCAGGGAGCCUGAUACAGGACUCGAUAAAAAAGUGCUUUUGUAAUAGAAGAUCUUUGCUCUGAGAAUCUAUCAUUAGGAAGAUAAUAUUAGCACGUUUUAGAAUUGCUUUAUUUAUUUAU
rnacentral:lncRNA from 1 species